rnacentral:rRNA from 1 species
UACGUAGGGUGCGAGCGUUGUCCGGAAUUACUGGGCGUAAAGGGAGCGUAGGCGGACUUUUAAGUGAGAUGUGAAAUACCCGGGCUCAACUUGGGUGCUGCAUUUCAAACUGGAAGUCUAGAGUGCAGGAGAGGAGAAUGGAAUUCCUAGUGUAGCGGUGAAAUGCGUAGAGAUUAGGAAGAACACCAGUGGCGAAGGCGAUUCUCUGGACUGUAACUGACGCUGAGGCUCGAAAGCGUGGGGAGCAAACAGGAUUAGAUACCCGUGUA